rnacentral:rRNA from 1 species
GACGAACGCUGGCGGCGUGCUUAACACAUGCAAGUCGAACGGAGUGGCGAACGGGUGAGUAACACGUGGGUGACCUGCCCUGCACUUCGGGAUAAGCCUGGGAAACUGGGUCUAAUACCGGAUAGUGUGGGAUGGGCGCGGGGCCUAUCAGCUUGUUGGUGGGGUAUUGGCCUACCAAGGCGGCGCCCGGUAGCCAGCCUGAGGGGGUGGACGGCCACGAGAGGACUGAGGCACGGGCCAGACUCCUACGGGAGGCAGCAGUGGAGAAUAUUGCACAAUGGGCGGAAGCCUGAUGCAGCGACGCCGCGUGGGGGAUGACGGCCUUCGGGUUGUAAACUCCGUUCACCAUCGACGCGGUAGAUGGAGAAGAAGCACCGGCUAACUACGUGCCAGCAGCCGCGGUAAUAC